UUCCGGUUGAUCCCGCCGGAGGUCACUGCUAUCGGGGUUCGAUUAAGCCAUGCGAGUCGAGAGGGUUCAGACCCUCGGCGGACUGCUCAGUAACACGUGGAUAAUCUGCCCUAUGGUGGAGGAUAACCCCGGGAAACUGGGGAUAAUACUCCAUAAGUCAGGAGUACUGGAAUGUCUCCUAACUGAAAGUUUCGGCGCCAUAGGAUGAAUCUGCGGCCGAUUAGGUAGUUGUUGGGGUAACGGCCCAACAAGCCCGUAAUCGGUACGGGUUGUGGGAGCAAGAGCCCGGAGAUGGAAUCUGAGACACGAUUCCAGGCCCUACGGGGCGCAGCAGGCGCGAAAACUUUACAAUGCAGGAAACUGUGAUAAGGGAACCCCGAGUGCCCGUACACGCGGGCUGUCCCGGUGUUUAAAACACAUCGGAAGAAAGGGCCGGGCAAGACCGGUGCCAGCCGCCGCGGUAAUACCGGCGGCUCGAGUGGUGACCACUUUUAUUGGGCUUAAAGCGUUCGUAGCUUGAUUUUUAAGUCUCUUGGGAAAUCUCACGGCUUAACUGUGAGGCGUCUAAGAGAUACUGGGAAUCUAGGGACCGGGAGAGGUAAGAGGUACUUCAGGGGUAGAAGUGAAAUUCUGUAAUCCUUGAGGGACCACCGAUGGCGAAGGCAUCUUACCAGAACGGCUUCGACAGUGAGGAACGAAAGCUGGGGGAGCGAACGGGAUUAGAUACCCCGGUAGUCCCAGCCGUAAACUAUGCGCGUUAGGUGUGCCUGUAACUACGAGUUACCGGGGUGCCGAAGUGAAAACGUGAAACGUGCCGCCUGGGAAGUACGGUCGCAAGGCUGAGACUUAAAGGAAUUGGCGGGGGAGCACCACAACGGGUGGAGCCUGCGGUUUAAUUGGAUUCAACGCCGGG
rnacentral:rRNA from 1 species